rnacentral:tRNA from 1 species
GGGCAGAUGGCUGAGUGGUCGAAAGCAACGCUCUGCUAAUGCGUCGUCUCGUUUUUCGGGACCGGGGGUUCGAAUCCUCUUCUGCCCGCCA